AUAAGGAUAAAAUAAUAAUUUUAAUUAUUUUACUUUCACUCUUUUACAAGAGAAAAUAAAUUUAUUUUCUCCCUUUCCCAAAUACAAAAGGGAAAAUAAAGGAUGGAAAAUAAAAAAUAUUUUCCUCCCUCUAUUUUCCUUCCCCUCCUAUAAUUUAUCCAAACAUAGCAUAAGGAACUGUGCAAUAGCACCCCACAUCAAUGAUUCCGUUACUAACUCAAAGGAGCAACACAUUAACUUUAUUUACCACAAAUAAAAAAAAUUAAAAAAAAAUAUCUAU
rnacentral:misc_RNA from 1 species